AUGAUCUGGCCCCAGUCUGUCUUUGCAGACUCAAUUUACUUUUUAUGUACUCUUUAUUACAGCCAACUUGGACUCUUUCCCAUUCAUAGGGUCAUAGAUUUCCUAAAAAGACACUGUAGAAGCCAUCAAACCCAAACCCUUCAUGGUACAGAUCGGGAAGCUGAGAAACGCCCUGGACUACAAGAGAUGGCAGCUAUGGAGAGAGGAAACAUUUGGUGGGAAGGGAAACUCCUAAAGCCCAUUCUUCUGGAAGAAAUUCAGGAGGCCCAACAUUGGAGCGUGUCAUGCUAGAACUGAAGAAAUAGUAAAAAGGAGAGCCACAACCAAUCAACAAGCAUUUACUGCGUUACUACCAGGUGCCAAGCACCAGGAAAUCAAAUCAAAAUGAAAGUUUUCUUCUCUUAAGGAGUUUACAUCUUCUUUGGGGAGACAAAAUCACAUGUAAGUAUGUAACAGAUAAUGACAAAUUAAACACAAGAUUGUUUGGAGAGAAACCACUAGCAAUUGAGAAGAUCCCAAUUUAUGAUGGUGCUUGUAGGAAGGAAGUGUGAACAAAUAAGAGGUAAAGAGAAAGUGCAUUCCAGACACUACAUGUCAGCCAGUGGGAAAGCACAAAGAUGAAAGAUGAAGUAGUGGGUGGGAAAUAUAGGAAGAAGGUUACUUUGGCAAAAGUGAACUGUGUGGGGAAGGGAGUGAUACAGAAUGGGGCUGGAGAGGUCAGUUGGAACCAUAUUGUGAAGGGUUUUAAAAGCCCAACAGAGGAAAGCAUUUUACCCUUGAGCCACUGAAGCUUACUGAGUAGGAGAAUGACAAGGCUAAGAAAAACAGUUUGGAAGAUUAAAACCUCAAUUUUGCUUUCUCCUACUACUAUUAGUGAUUCAGAUGGGCUGGUCUGAUGGGGAAAGAGUUGUCUAACACACAUGGAUUUCCUUCUGGAGUGGGUACAGAUCCUUGGGCUAUUUACCAGUCUAUAGGCUCAUCUCUCUAACAACCCCUGGUGUGUGUCCUAAGCUACCUAAACUAGCCACAGUGGAUUCAGAUUCUGCCAGGAAAGGGCACAUUGGAAUACUGAUCAUCAUCAUGGUUUAUUAGUCUAAAGGGCAGAAGUGAUUGGACAGAUCAAUCCAGUGACACAGUAGGAUACAUACAUACAUACAUAUAUAUAUACAUACCCAUCUGUACUAACAGUAAUCAAGGGUAGGUUGGAGUGCCAGUCUGUGUGGGAGGACAGAGACCACACAUCCACAUCAACUCAUAAGAAGUCUUUUUCCCAAGCACCACCAACAUCGAGCCAUCUCCUGGUGGAGUGGGUGCCAUGCUAUUGAAGCUUGGGCAUUUUAUUAUCUCACAGUGGGUUAUCAGGAGGCCAGCUGCAGAGUUCACACCAUUGCAUUUUCCAAAUGAUAGUGUUCCUAUUGAGGAAGGGAUCCCCUUUCAAUGGGAAUGACUUUUAGGUCCAACCUUGCUACUCAAUCACAGCCCUUGUAGGGGUAGUCUAAAGAAGACAGAUACUUCCUAGCUAAGUGACCCUGGGAAAGUCACUUGACCCCACUUGCCUAGCCUUUACAACGCUGCCUUGGAACCAAUACUUAGUAUUGAUGCUAAGAAGAUAAGAGAUUUUUUAAAUGUCAAAAAACCUGAACACCAUAAUGCAAAAAGUUAUCCAAAAAAGGCACAAACUUUCUGAAUAUAUAAAACAAAAACCACCAGUUCCUAGGAGCCAUAGACAGAGUUCAAAAUACAUAAAUUAUGUUGUAAACUUCAAGCAACAAAAAUUGGAAGACUUUAAAAUACAAAGGAAAGUAAAUUAUAAUUUUUAAAAAUACUUCUUCACUUAUCAGAAACCACAGGAAGGAAUAGAUUCAUAUAUAUGUUUGUAUAUGUGUGUGGAAGAAAAAACAUCUGAAAUACAAAGGAAAAUAAGGCAUAAAGAUAGAAUGAAACAGAAAUAGUAUUUUCAAACCUCACUACAAAGCAGAAGUAAGGCUAAACCAUUUUGUACAGUUUUUUUAAAGAAAAUACAGAUAUGUAUCAAUGGAAUAAAUCUAGAUAAGAAAGAAUCA
ensembl:lncRNA